CCAAUAGCGUAUAUUAAAGUUGUUGCAGUUAAAAAGCUCGUAGUUGAAUUUCGGGAUCAAUAUGUCUGUCGUGCCUUCGGUACGUACGGGUAUAAUUGGUUUCUACCUUCUGAUGAACCUUGAUGCCAUUAAUUUGGUGUCUUGGGGACUCAGGACUGUUACCUUGAAAAAAUUAGAGUGUUUAAAGCAGGCAUACGCUUGAAUACAUUAGCAUGGAAUAAUGAAAUAGGACGUUCGAUUCCAUUUUGUUGGUUUCUAGGAUCGACGUAAUGAUUAAUAGGGAUAGUUGGGGGCAUUAGUAUUCAAUUGUCAGAGGUGAAAUUCUUGGAUUUAUUGAAGACUAACUACUGCGAAAGCAUUUGCCAAGGAUGUUUUCAUUAAUCAAGAACGAAAGUUAGGGGAUCGAAGACGAUCAGAUACCGUCGUAGUCUUAACCAUAAACUAUGCCGACUAGGGAUCGGAUGAUGUUAAUUUUUUAAUGACUCAUUCGGCGCCUUACG
rnacentral:rRNA from 1 species